GAUCAAAGUGUAGUAUCUGUUCUUAUCAGCUUAAUAUCUGAUACGGUCCUCAUUGAGGGCCCAGAAUAUUAAACUGAUUUUUGGAAACAGGUGGGGUGCUCGGGGCUUGCUCCACCCCCGCCACGGGUUGGC
rnacentral:snRNA from 1 species